UCCAGUGUGGUAUAGUGGUUUGAGUGUUGGACUACAACUCUGGAGACCAGGGUUCAACUCUCAGCUCAGCCA